GGAGUUGUGGCUCAGUGGUAGAGUGCUCGCCUAGCACAUGUGAGGCCCUGGGUUCGAUCCUCAGCACCA
rnacentral:tRNA from 1 species